rnacentral:rRNA from 1 species
GAUGAACGCUGGCGGCGUGCCUAAUACAUGCAAGUCGAGCGAACAGACGAGGAGCUUGCUCCUCUGACGUUAGCGGCGGACGGGUGAGUAACACGUGGAUAACCUACCUAUAAGACUGGGAUAACUUCGGGAAACCGGAGCUAAUACCGGAUAAUAUAUUGAACCGCAUGGUUCAAUAGUGAAAGACGGCUUUGCUGUCACUUAUCGAUGGAUCCGCGCCGCAUUAGCUAGUUGGUAAGGUAACGGCUUACCAAGGCGACGAUGCGUAGCCGACCUGAGAGGGUGAUCGGCCACACUGGAACUGAGACACGGUCCAGACUCCUACGGGAGGCAGCAGUAGGGAAUCUUCCGCAAUGGGCGAAAGCCUGACGGAGCAACGCCGCGUGAGUGAUGAAGGUCUUCGGAUCGUAAAACUCUGUUAUUAGGGAAGAACAAAUGUGGAAGUAACUAUGCACGUCUUGACGGUACCUAAUCAGAAAGCCACGGCUAACUACGUG